rnacentral:rRNA from 1 species
CCCUUAGAUGUCCUGGGCCGCACGCGCGCUACACUGAGUGUCUGAGAUACGAGUCUGCCUGGUCCGGCAAGGUCUAGGUAAUCGCUAAAAGACACAUCAUGCUUGGGAUAGAUUAUUGCAAAUAUUAAUCUUGAACGAGGAAUUCCUAGUAAGCGCAAGUCAACAGCUUGCGUUGAUUACGUCCCUGCCCUCUGUACACACCGCCCGUCGCUACUACUGAUUGGAUGUUUAAGCGAGGUUCUCGAACUGCUAGCGACUUAGCUUCGGUGAGGUCGCAGUGUGGGAAGUGAACCUAGCUUUGGUGUCUAGAGGAAGUAAAAGUCGUAACA